rnacentral:tRNA from 2 species
GCGGGUGUAGCUCAGUUGGUUAGAGCGCCGGCCUGUCACGCCGGAGGUCGCCGGUUCGAGCCCGGUCACUCGCG